ACUGAAAAAACAGAUCAAGUAAUGCAAUUUCAAUUGAAAAUAAAAUUUUGUCCUUAAGAUACCACAACCAAGCAAGUAUCCACACAAAUCUUUUCAUACAAACAUCAUAUGAGAACAAUAUAAACUAAAACCGAGAGAGAGGGGAAGAAUCAACUUCUGUUAUUUCAACAUACUUGACUUCGCUACAUGACCGAAAACGGAACCUCAACCGAAGACCGACAAUAAGCUCGAACGUAAGACCACCUCGAACAACAAUCUUCGGCGACCUCGAAACUCGCCGGAGAACUCGAACUAAACCAGGAAAACGAAAUUGACAAACUCCAUGACAUGAAAUAGCGAUUUGGGGUUGUUUCGGGUUGGUGAUAGCCUUCCUCUGCUUUUUGUUGGAUCCGUUUUCUGCUCUGUUUUUAUGUGUGUUGUAGCUGAUUUUUUGGGAAAAAGGGGUUGAGAGAAUGAGAGGGUGGUGGCAGAAGCUUUAGUAAUUUUGUGUGAGGCUGUCGUUUCUAGGUUAGGGAAUUAGGCUGUGUUGGGGAAUUAGCUUCUUCUUUUGAAAAUGAGAAGAUCUGCUGCUACUCUUGUUCUCUGAAAGAAGAAGUCACGAUGGAAAUCUUUUUCUUUGGGGAGGUGCAGCUGUCUAUCUGUUGAACGAGAGAAUGAGACAUAAAAAAGAUGUAGAGUUUUGGGGAGGAGGAAAGCUGAUGGGUUAUUGGAUAUUGGGCUUAGAUUUGGCUCAAUUUGGGUUAGGAGAACAAGUUCAAAGUAAUUUUUUUUUUUUU
rnacentral:lncRNA from 1 species